UGGUAGACGCUGCGGACUUAAUUGGAUUGAGCCUUGGUAUGGAAACCUACUAAGUGAUAACUUUCAAAUUCAGGGAAACCCCGGAAUUAAAAAAAAAAAGGGCAAUCCUGAGCCAAAUCCUGUUUUAUUUUAUAAAAAGAAAAGUUAAAAAACGGAUAGGUACAGAGACUCAACGGAAGCUGUUCUAGUAAAUGGGGGCACUGGUAAAGGAAUAUUUCCACUGAAACGUCAGAAACGAUCAAAGAUAAACCUAUCCUAUUGAAUAUUAUAUCAAAUGAUUAAUAAUGGCCCGAACCUAUAGAUGUAUUUUUUUAUAUGAAAAAUAUAAUUUUUAGUCAUAAAACUAUUCACUCAAUAGUACGAUAAACUUUUUCAAGAACCGAUCAAUCGGACAAGAAUAAAGAUAGAGUCCCCUUCUACAUGUCAAUACCGACAACAAUGAAAUUUAUAGUAAGAGGAAAAUCCGUUGACUUUAAAAAUCAUGAGGGUUCAAGUCCCUCUAUCCCCAAGCAAGCCUAUUUUACUUCCAAAAUAUUUAUCCUACCCUAUACCUUUCGCUUACAAAUUGGUUUAUUUUUAUGAUUCUUUGCCAAACGUAGGUGGGCGUAAAUUACUUUUUCCUCUCCCACGUGAUGUAGAAUACACAUCCAAAUGGAGCAAAGAAUCCCGAUUUAAAUUAUUCACAACCAAUAGCUUUACGAAUACUGAAAUUGAAAAAGAGGUCCUUUUGAAAAUUAAAUAAAUUAAAUUUAAGUAUUUGGGGAAAAAAUUGUAAUCUACCCCUACCUUUAAUUGACAUAGACCCCAGCCAUCGACUAAAAUCAUAAUGGGUUACUACGCAGGGAAUGGUCGGGAUAGC
rnacentral:misc_RNA from 1 species